AGCAUAUCAAUAAGCGGAGGAAAAGAAACUAACAAGGAUUCCCCUAGUAACUGCGAGUGAAGCGGGAAAAGCUCAAAUUUAAAAUCUGGCGGUCUUUGGCCGUUCGAGUUGUAGUCUGGAGAAGUGCUUUCCGCGCUGGACCGUGUACAAGUCUCUUGGAACAGAGCGUCAUAGAGGGUGAGAAUCCCGUCUUUGACACGGACUACCAGUGCUUUGUGAUGCGCUCUCAAAGAGUCGAGUUGUUUGGGAAUGCAGCUCAAAAUGGGUGGUAAAUUCCAUCUAAAGCUAAAUAUUGGCGAGAGACCGAUAGCGAACAAGUACCGUGAGGGAAAGAUGAAAAGCACUUUGGAAAGAGAGUUAAACAGUACGUGAAAUUGCUGAAAGGGAAACGCUUGAAGUCAGUCGCGUUGGCCAGGACUCAGCCUUGCUUUAGCUUGGUGCAUUUUCUGGUUGACGGGCCAGCAUCGAUUUUGGUCGUCGGAUAAAGGCUGGGGGAAUGUGGCAUCUUCGGAUGUGUUAUAGCCCUCAGUCACAUACGACGGCUGGGAUCGAGGACCGCAGCACGCCUUUAUGGCCGGGGCUCGCCCACGUUCGUGCUUAGGAUGCUGGCAUAAUGGCUUUAAACGACCCGUCUUGAAACACGGACCAAGGAGUCUAACAUGCCUGCGAGUGUUUGGGUGGAAAACCCGAGCGCGUAAUGAAAGUGAAAGUUGAGAUCCUUGUCAUGGGGAGCAUCGACGCCCGGACCUGACCUUCUGUGAUGGAUCUGCGGUAGAGCAUGUAUGUUGGGACCCGAAAGAUGGUGAACUAUGCCUGAAUAGGGUGAAGCCAGAGGAAACUCUGGUGGAGGCUCGUAGCGAUUCUGACGUGCAAAUCGAUCGUCAAAUUUGGGUAUAGGGGCGAAAGACUAAUCGAACCAUCUAGUAGCUGG
rnacentral:rRNA from 1 species